rnacentral:rRNA from 1 species
GGUGAACGCUGGCGGUAGGCCUAACACAUGCCAGUCGAACGGCAGCACAGUAAGAGCUUGCUCUUACGGGUGGCGAGUGGCGGACGUGUGAGGAAUACAUCGGAAUCUACUUUUUCGUGGGGGAUAACGUAGGUGAACUUACGCUAAUACCGCAUACGACCUACGGGUGAAAGCAGGGGAUCUUCGGACCUUGCGCGAUUGAAUGAGCCGAUGUCGGAUUAGAUAGUUGGCGGGGUAAAGGCCCACCAAGGCGACGAUCCGUAGCUGGUCUGAGAGGAUGGUCGGCCACACUGGAACUGGGACACGGUCCAGACUCCUACGGGAGGCAGCAGUGGGGAAUAUUGGACAAUGGGCGCAAGCCUGAUACAGCCAUACCGCGUGGGUGACGAAGGCCUUCGGGUUGUAAAGACCUUUUGUUGGGAAAGAACAGCAGCAGGUUAAUACCCAGCUGUUCUGACGGUACCCAAAGAAUAAGCACCGGCUAACUUCGUG